UAGGAGGUCCCGCCUGCCCUGUGAUAGUAAUUUAACGGCCGCGGUAUUUUGACCGUGCGAAGGUAGCGAAAUCACUUGUCUUUUAAAUGAAGACCUGUAUGAAUGGCACGACGAGGGCUUGACUGUCUCCUUUUUCAAGUCAAUGAAAUUGAUCUCCCCGUGCAGAAGCGGGGAUUAAAACAUAAGACGAGAAGACCCUAUGGAGCUUUAGACACCAGGAUAGACCAUGUUAAACACCCACGCACAAAGGACUAAACCAAAUGAGACCUACCCUAAUGUCUUUGGUUGGGGCGACCACGGGGAAACAAAAAACCCCCACGUGGAAUGGGAGUACUACUCCUAAAACCAAGAGCUCCUGCUCUAAUAAACAGAAUUUCUGACCAAAAAGAUCCGGCAAUGCCGAUCAACGAACCGAGUUACCCUAGGGAUAACAGCGCAAUCCCCUUUCAGAGCCCAUAUCGACAAGGGGGUUUACGACCUCGAUGUUGGAUCAGGACAUCCUAAUGGUGCAGCCGCUAUUAAGGGUUCGUUUGUUCAACG
rnacentral:rRNA from 1 species